UAGGGAAUAUUGGUCAAUGGACGCAAGUCUGAACCAGCCAUGCCGCGUGCAGGAAGACGGCCCUAUGGGUUGUAAACUGCUUUUAUAUGGGAAGAAACCCCCUGAUGCGUUAGGGGCUGACGGUACCAUAUGAAUAAGGAUCGGCUAACUUCGUGCCAGCAGCCGCGGUAAGACGAAGGAUCCAAGCGUUGUCCGGAUUUACUGGGUUUAAAGGGUGCGUAGGCGGGAGAUUAAGUCAGUGGUGAAAGCCCUCAGCUCAACUGAGGAACUGCCAUUGAAACUGAUUUUCUUGAAUAUGGUUGAGGUAGAUGGAAUAUAACAUGUAGCGGUGAAAUGCUUAGAUAUGUUAUAGAACACCGAUUGCGAAGGCAGUCUGCUAAGCCAUUAUUGACGCUGAGGC
rnacentral:rRNA from 1 species